CCUACGGGCGGCAGCAGUGGGGAAUAUUGGACAAUGGGCGAAAGCCUGAUCCAGCCAUGCCGCGUGUGUGAAGAAGGCCUUCGGGUUGUAAAGCACUUUCAGUGGGGAAGAAAGCCUUGGGGCUAAUACCCUCGAGGAAGGACAUCACCCACAGAAGAAGCACCGGCUAACUCCGUGCCAGCAGCCGCGGUAAUACGGAGGGUGCGAGCGUUAAUCGGAAUUACUGGGCGUAAAGCGCGCGUAGGCGGUCUGAUAAGCCGGUUGGGAAAGCCCCGGGCUCAACCUGGGAACGGCAUCCGGAACUGUCAGGCUAGAGUGCAGGAGAGGAAGGUAGAAUUCCCGGUGUAGCGGUGAAAUGCGUAGAGAUCGGGAGGAAUACCAGUGGCGAAGGCGGCCUUCUGGACUGACACUGACGCUGAGGUGCGAAAGCGUGGGUAGCAAACAGGAUUAGAUACCCUGGUAGUC
rnacentral:rRNA from 1 species